rnacentral:rRNA from 1 species
CGGGACGGGUGAGUAAUGUCUGGGAAACUGCCUGAUGGAGGGGGGUAACUACUGGAAACGGUAGCUAAUACCGCAUAACGUCGCAAGACCAAAGAGGGGGACCUUCGGGCCUCUUGCCAUCGGAUGUGCCCAGAUGGGAUUAGCAGUAGGUGGGGUAACGGCUCACCUAGGCGACGAUCCCUAGCUGGUCUGAGAGGAUGACCAGCCACACUGGAACUGAGACACGGUCCAG